UGCAUUGUGUCAAACCAAGCCUGGCUAGUUGUAGUUGUCCGUCUUCUGUCUGGUGCUUCUGUUUAACAUGUGCAUUCAUUCUCAGCCCAGGGGAGUCGGACACUGAGGCGCUGUCAAGUCCAGUUCAGGUUUUUUAUACAUAUAAAGUAUAAAUAAAUUAUAAAAUAAGUUUAGACCAUACACAAGUCAAACAUUUCACUUCUUGACACUAAAACAGGUCUCAAAAUGAUGCCAUUGAGGGCCACUGCCCUGCUGGUUUUCCAUCUCUCCUAUUGACCAGGUGUGUUCAGUCAAUGACAAGCUGAUCAAGGUAAUCAGCAGAAAGUUAACCCCUCCACCCCCUGCACCACACUGUAGAGGCUCUGAGCAGCUCCUUCAGCAAGACUGUUACAUCCACAUCAUUGGAUGUCAUUCCUCCCCACAGCCGUCAGAAUGUACAACAUAUCACUGCAGUGAUAUACAACAUCUAACACAUUGUGUAACCACACCUUGUCUCUGUUGUGUUUGUGCAGUGCCUUCACCAUUUCAUCAGUCAUUGUUUUUGAUUUUGUGAAUUGUGUGAAUAUUUUCGUUUUUGCCUCACUCUUGCACAGCGUAUUAUUGUCUAAUGUUUAAAUAUUAAUGCAUGUAUUACUGUUGCCUAUGCACAUUUAAUACUGUUUGUUGUUUGCUUUUCCUUUUUGUCCUGUCAAUUGCUGCUGAAAACACAAACAUUUUUCCAUUGUGGGAUGAAUAAAGUCAUAUCUUCCUUCUCUGUUUGGUAAUGUUUUUUUACAGUAAUAAACUGUGAUCUGGAUCCAGGUGUAAAGGCUGCUGCAGUGUUUUAUGAUUGAGGAGGUGUCUGACAACAGACUCAAAGUUGAGACAUCACAUAAUAAUAGCAGGAAAGAAUGAAAGGCUGCAGCUCUGAGAGUUAAUGAAUGAAGUGAACCCUGCUGUUGAGUCAAACCAGGAAAGGCCAAGUUACAGCUGAUCAGACACAAGCUCAUAUUUAUCUAUCGACUCUGAUUGUGUGGCAACAGAUGAUUUCUUCCCUUAAAGUACAUUCACCUGCUCCAACCAUCAUUGUUGUUGUUCUUGUACUUGUGGUUGUUGGAUGGAGGUGGAGACACAAGUCCAGUAAGAAGAAAAAACAAUGAUGAAGAAUCACAAGGAAAAAGAAAAGAAGACAAAAUAUGUUCUAGUCCAGAAGAAGCAAGUUUAUUAGAAAAUGAAAAGAAGCAGAAAUGAAAAUUAUACAAAUGAAGGUCGACAUCCGAACAUCAUAUGAUCCCAAUGGAGACAAGAGGAAUAAAUGAAGCUGAUGAAAGCGUACAACAAGACAACGUCACAUCAGGAGAGAAGACAGUGAAGAGGAGAGAGAGACUUUGUCCUGAUACAGAACAUGAAGACGAGACGAACACAACGUCUGGUCCAGUAAAGCUUCAGCUGAUGAGAACAAAUACAGUGUCAACAACAGAGACACACACAGUUCAGGAAGUGGAUAACAGAAUCUCACUGUGGAAAGAAAGAAGAAACACAUGAAGAUCAUCCAGAGGAGAAAGAAACCAGACAUGGAGAGAAGGAAACAGGUCCUAUGACUGAUGAAACAUCAAAACUGAAGGAUGAGAACAGACAAAACCUGAAGAUUAAUGAAGGAGGAAAUGGGGGGAAAUGAUCACAAGGAAAAACAAAAAAACAUCUGUAGGUAUCAAACCAGCAGCUAAGAAUGAAGCUGAUGGAAACAAACAAUCAACUGAAUCAACCAAAAAUACUGUUUACCCCAAGAGAACUGCACCAUUGACACCAACUACAACCAAAGACACUUCACUAUACUGUAACAACAACAGCAACUGAAUCAACUUCAACACAGAGAGAUGGAGAGAACAACAAAGGGUCAGAAACAGUAGACAUGAGAGAGACAAAUGAUGGGGAGGACACAACAUCUGGUUCAGGAGGUGCUGAAACCGGACAGAACCCACGCGAACACUAGGAGAACUCCACAUAGAAAAGGCACCCUGUCCGCCUCUGGGAAUAGAAC